UUCGUGCUAUAAUGAGGGAACCGUUGUUACGCGAUAUUGUUCACUAUUAGCUGAAGCGCAAAGUACAAUUCAUGCAGGCACGAUUCAUGUAAUCAUUUUAUCACGAUUGGAGGAUAGCGGGGUAUGUAGGCGGGUCUAGCUGUUUUGAUAUUAUUGGACAUUAUUAUUA